CACAUUUAUGAAUAGAAAAAUCACAAAAGGAACCAGCUGCUCCAGAAAGGCUAUGACCAUAUUAUGAUGCAAAAGCCAACAGAGAAAAGCCCACUGGAGGACCUCGGGCUGGCCUGGGAGGGGGGUGGAUCUGGCUCUGCUGUCUUCCUCGGCCAACUCAGAACUGAGCACUGAACGCGGGACUUGCAGGCAGAGAGGAGUAGCUGACACCAGAAAGUCAUGAGGGCUAAAGGAGUUCUUGAGCACAACGCACCAAAGAGUCUGGGACACAGCAGCUUUGGCGGCCAUGCUUCACAGCAUCAGAACCGAUCAGUACCAGCAGCGAUAUCCACCCUGACCACAUCAGUGACCUCUUCGGAAGGAAGUGCUGAUUGUCUAGGGGGAGCUGGUAGCCUACGCGCCUGGUACAGACUCGGCCCAGGCUGCCUGCUGACACUCAAACGGCAGAGUGCAAGAAGGUGGGGUCUCUGCCCCCUUUCCUCCCAUGAGCACGCUCCGAGGAAGGAUAUUUUCUGCCUUUGAUUUCUAUUUUGGUGUAUCAGUGUUGUCAGUCUAAGGAGGAACUUUUAAAAUCCUAAGGGAAGGGCUGGGGAUUUAGCUCAGUGGUGCCUCCGCCUGCCUCACAAGGGCAAGGUCCUGAGUUCGAUCCCUGGUACCAAAAAAAAAAACAACCCUAAGGGAAACGUGAGCAUUACUAGCUGCACACUCAUUUUGCAGUCUGUACAGACACGGUGGUUGUCUCUGGUUCUGGUUUCUGGCACUGUCUAUUGAGAACAUCCCGGAAUGCAACUGCCUAACUCUGAAACUUCCCAUUUACCUUUGACUCUGAAAAGAUUCACAAGGUGCCUUGAUGAUCCGCCUGACAGCCGGUCACAGAGGAGCCUAGGACUAACAGGCACAAAAAGGACGACUUGUCCAUUUGCACUUGCCCUGGGCUGUGUGAUGAUACGGAACAAGACGGACGACUGGACGUUUCAUAAGACAGCUGAGUCCCAGUUACCUGUUCGGCCUGUGAGUUGUGUCUCAUUAGUAAUAAGUAAAGCAAUGGGCAGCUCCUGGAGAGACAGCGGGCUGCGUAAUUACUAAGACAACGUCUCUAGAAACAACCAGGAUAUAUUAGAGCAGACGUGGCCAGGUCAUCGCCCUGUCUAGAAAGGCUUUUCUGUGAGAGAUUCCAUUCCUGACUGAGAUGGGAUGGGGAGCAGCCCCAGCACCUCUCCCUGUCCGAGGAAACCCAGGACUCUUUGAAGAACUCGACAUGGUGCCCUGGAUUUGACUCCACAUUUAUAGGCAUGAGGUCUUUUUACUUUUAAAAAGGGAAACAAGAAGAGAACUAAUAUUUAGCUUUGUAUUGUUACACUAUUUUCCAAUAUUUUAUAUUUUGUAAUUUUUCUAUUGUCAUAAUUAUGCUUGUACAAAAGAAAUACACUGAAUAAGCAACAAAUAAUUGGACAAAACCUACAAGAUGUACCAUAGUCUGCAUGUUAAGAUAUAAUUCUAUAGAUCAAGUUUAACUUGAGACUAUUUCAAUCUAUAAUUAUGUGGAUAAUUCAAUACCUAUAGUCACUUUUUUGUUAUUAUAGCUAGAAAAAAGCAGCAAAUAUUGUAAAUUAAAAGUAGAAGACAUGGAUUAUCACCUCAAUUAACAAUUAAUCAACAAUAUAACCUGGGACAAUUUAUUCCUCUGAAAUUGAAUUUUUCUCAACUUGAAAAUUUAGGACUUGGACUGGGAGGAUUUUCCAGUCUAAAGUUGUUUGAUACCGAAUUUACAGCUUCACUCAGACCUGUGUCUCCCUCCUCUUAUUCACUUACUCUCCUGCAUCCUGGUAAUGAACAUUCAGGCAACAGAAGUCACAGGAAGAUAUUUCUAGUUGUAACAAAGUGCUAAUUUUUCUGAAUAGGAUGAAUUUUUGCUGUAUGAAAUCAGUGAGUCCUCUUGAUUGCAAAGCAGAUAGUAACUUCAAAUGGUGAAUUUCUUCUUAUCUUUGAUCAUGUUUUGAGUGAAGGUUUGAAGAUUAUGCUCUGGCUCGCUGUGGCCCACAGUAGUCUCCAGUCUUGUCUUUUGUAGGCACAUAGAAAUACAGUCAACCCUCCAUGUCCACGGGUUCCAUACCCCUGGACUCGACCAGCCACAGCAGAAAUAUUUGCAAAACAUUUCAAGUGUAAAGAUCACAUGCAGACUUUCUUCUGCCAUCAUCCCCUAAAGAACGCGAUACACACUCACAUCACAACUGUGUUGUGUUAGACGUAAGCCAUGAAGAGAAGAUUCCCUGCCUGUGGGAGUCCAUGCAGUCCUAUGCAAGUCCUACCCCAUUCCAGUCUUGGGAAUCCAGGGAUUUUGCUACCCACUGGUGUUCUGAAACCAGUCUACAAAAGAUAGAUGAUUGUGUAUUACUAAGAGUAGGUAAGGAAUAAGAGUAGUUAUGUUAAUAAAAGCUAGGAAAGUUCUCUUAGAAAAAGCAGCAUUAUCAGUUAACAUAACUCUGCCUCACUUAUUGUCUACUGUGCAUUCUUAGACCUCAGUGAACAUGAGAAAUACAUCCAGGCACAGUGGAGCACUUUUGCAGUCUCAGCAAUCCGUGAAGCUGAGGCAGGAGGACUGGAGCUUCAAAUCCAGUCUGGAAAGUUCAGAAACUUAACAGUGCCUAUCAGAAAGCAAAACAAAACAAAUUAAAAAUUUUAAAAAGGUGAAGAAGUAACUCAGUGCUAAGGCUCUGGGUUCAAAUCCCAGUACAGGGGAAAAAAGAAAAAGAGAAAGAAGGAGGGAGGGAGGGAGAGAAGGAGAGAGAGAUGUAUUCAUUUCCCACCCUAACGAUUCAGAUUGAUCAGUUUAUUUUGGAAAUGUGAUUUCCUGCUCUCUGUCACUUGUCAUCCCUGCCUAAUUACCACAUUAAGGAGCCUCCGUCCUGCUACUCUGGCCUGUGUCCUGUCAGAUGGUUGCACACGGUCGCCUCCCUGAGUCUCCGGUGACUGACAUGGCUUGGCCUCAGUCCUGCUUGGCGUCCUGGCAAAUCCACAGCACAUGGCCAUCCCCUUCUCUGUAGCUCACUCUGCCCUGACCAGUGAUUUCAAAGGCAGCGCUGAUGCUCGCAGUGUCCUCGGAACGCUGGACAUGCCGGUAGAUUCUCUAAGCAGUUUUAGGGUUUCUGUUUCACUCCAGCUACCACAAAGUACUCGAUAUGUAAGGAGUUACAUGUUUAAUAGAAUGAUAAAAAAUAGAAAAAAAGGGCUUUUUUCACUUUGGGGUUCAUCAUAAGAAUUCUUAAAACCUUCAUUUAUGAAGAAUACUUUUCAAAUCCACUGAAUAAUAGAUAACGCUCUUUGUUGGCAUCCCAAAUCUGAAGGCAAAUGCCAGAGCCCAUUUUUGCUGUUUCACUGUAAUUUUCAGCAAAAUUCCUAGAUAAAAUUACAGGCCAAUAAUCAAAAGGAACAAGAAAAUUAUGUGACACCAUAUCCUUUACUUUUUUAAAACAAAUUUAUAUUGAAAACUAUUUUGGCUUUUGCUUUAAUGACUUAGUGGCCUUGUAGUAAUUUUACUUCUAUUAAACACUUCUUGUAACAGUGGAGAAUUAAUGUUACUAAGGAUUGGUUUAUAAUGUUUAAUAUUUGUAGAUAUUUUUAAAAUUUCCACAUCAGGAUUUUUAACAUCAGAUAACCUAGGUUCAUUUUCUUCUAUAAUUAUGCUUGGCUCUGUGACAAUAUAUGCAUUUAAGCCUGUCCAUGUAUCAUCAAGUAAUUUCUAAAAAAUAUGAUUAGCAUUAUUUUCUCAACUAAGCUGAAAUUAUGGGUAAUCUGGGAUUUAAAAACUCAGGCAGUAAUAAAAAUAAGGGACACCGUCUAGAUUUGCUGGGGUCAGGAUGAAUUACCAAAGAUCAUGGGCUUUGUCCUGCACAAUUCCUGGUAUUUCUUUCCUUGCAAGAGUGUCAUGAUAUACCUACCAUUUGACCUAGUGGUUUGACCUCCUGGUUUCCCGGCCAAGUUUCAGUAGGGUGUAGAGGAGAUAUGGGAGCCCAAAUCAUACAGUGUGGUUGUGGAGCUCUUGCCCCGUGUAAAUGUAGUCUUACUGAAAACUGCUAAAAUCUACAUCGGUGGCAGUAAUGCCAUGUGAUCAUGGAAGACGCCUGGUACCUCUGCUGUCAAAUUUGUUUCUAUGUAGGAUUUUAAAGGUUUGCUCAAUAAUGUAAAACAUAAAGAUGAUACAUCAUUCAAGUUAAGUUAAAAUUCUUCAGGAAUUAAAGAGCAGCAAAUAGUAUUUGGUUUCAAUGUAACAUUUUCUUUGAAAGAACUGUGGCAGAAAUAGUUGCCCAGAGAACAAGAGGCACCCUAAAUAUAAUCAAUGACAUUUUCUGCAAAAUAAAUGGUAUUUUAAAGAAUUUGUGUGUUGUAACUCAUUGACUACUCUCCACAGGUAUGGUAUUAAUAUAUUUUGCCAUAAAUCUUU
rnacentral:lncRNA from 1 species